rnacentral:rRNA from 1 species
UACGUAGGCAGCAAGCGUUGUUCGGAGUUACUGGGCGUAAAGGGUGUGUAGGCGGUUCCUUAAGUUUGCUGUGAAAAUCUCCCCGGCUUAACCGGGAGGGUGCGGUGAAUACUGAGGGACUAGAGUACGGGAGAGGAAAGUGGAAUUCCUGGUGUAGCGGUGAAAUGCGUAGAUAUCAGGAGGAACACCGGUGGUGUAGACGGCUUUUCUGGACCGUAACUGACGCUGAGACACGAAAGCGUGGGUAGCAAACAGG